rnacentral:lncRNA from 1 species
UUUCAUCAGAAUUCCCUCCAUUAAUUGUUUCAUUAUGUGUUCUAAUUUAACAUACAUGCUGGAACUAACAUGUUAUACUCUGUGUUACACUUCAAUGUAAAGGUUUGGAAUCAGAUUUCUUGAAGAAACCUGCAACGGUUCCUAAUUCUUUCUCUCGGCUGCAACCAUAAGUUUCCAGUAGCAACGGCAGCCUUUCGUUUGACAUUUCUCAUUAGUUCUGUUUCUGGUUUAUGUCCUAGCUGAUCCUGCAAAGGAUACCUAUUCAACUGCAGAUCAUCCUAGGCUAAACAGGACAGUCCAUGAUCAGAAUUCAAAAGGAAAUAACUGAGUUAUGCCUCAUCUCUGCACUUAGCUGCAAAUUUCAAAUCUUCACUCUCGAUUUCUGCAAUUUUCUUCCUAAUGGCUUUUCGGUUGCUGCACAGAAUUUUCCUUCAGCCAAGAACUCAUUUUUCCUAGCUAAAUUCAACAUGCUGCUGGUGUUUAUCCAAUUAUACCAACUAAACAGCGAGUUGUUAUAAGAUCUUACCUGUUCCCCUUAAAGUUCGAUGUUGCAGGCUGCUCAAGUUUCUGUUUCAGCUAUUCAAUUCCUAACACUCGAUUCUCCCGUUUUCCUUGCAGUACCCUUGCUUGCUUUUGGUUAGCGAGUGAUGGAGCUGCCAAGCUUUCCCUCCCACUCUCACACUCAGUUCUAUACUCUCAGUUCUGGUCUAGAACGGAAGAAAGAAGAAGAGACAACUGUCUAGUUCAUUGCUGUCUACUUAAAAGACUCUUUUACCUUUUUAGUUCUCUACUUAGAAGACUUAAAGACCAGAAGAGAAUUAUACUACUCGGUGGUCAAUUUUUCCAAUCGGUGG